UAGAAAUACAUAAGGUUUAUUAAAUCUUAUAUUUAAAAUAGAAACUAUAUCGUCAUGGCUCAUUUAAAAUCAAUAGAUCUGAUCGGGUAUCCAGAACAUUAAAUAGAUUAUGACAAAAGGAAAUUGGCAGGUUUAUAUUAAGUUUAUUAUGACGGCGAUUAUAAGUAGUAUGACCUUGUCAAGGUCGUGUAACUUUUCAGAUAAGUGUUCUAUUUAAUAACGUAUUCAUUGGGCUAAGUAGAUCAGUAUACUAUACGGAAGUCAACUGAGAGGAUCAUAAUUGUACUUUACUGAAGGAAAACAAACAAAAUGGCGUCCAAAACAAAGUUAACCCAGUUCAGACGUAGAUAUCUUUCUGAAUCUGAAAUAUCUGUGAUACAGUCCCCUAUAUCAUGUCAACUUGGAGAAGUGUACAGAAACAUUGCAGACACAUAUUUCAAUGAACCAACCAAAGAAAACCUGCCUCACCAUAAAUCUUUUGAACUUGUGUUUAGUAGCAGCGGACGAAACAUCCUAAAGAUGUUGUAUAUGUUUUAUGUACUAAAGGAAUACACAUGAAAUCACACUAAAUUAAUUGAGUAAUAUUGAACCUAAACGAAUCACAAGGACAUCCUUUACAGUAGACGUUCCGAGAAAAUGGAUGAACCGCGUUACAAACUGAUAUGUUUAGACAAGGUUUACCCAGCAGUGAAGAGCAAUGAUUUCAACAACAUGUGAGACAGAUGUUUUGAUUUGCCUUGGAGUUCGGUAUUGGCGUUAAUACUAAUAGCCAAAUGACUAACCUGAUGUGACAUUGUUGAGGCUAGGUUGGAAUAUCGUGUGAAGCAAUUGAAGAACUGAUAAACUCUUGAUUAAAAACAAAAACUUAAUUUUGUAAUCGCAAAUAAAUUAGAAUAUUGCAUUG